GUUUCCGUGGUGUAGUUAGUAGCACGUUCGCUUAACACGCGAAAGGCUCCGGUUCAACUCCGGGCGGAAACG